GCUUCGCGUCGGUGGGCNAUGUUACACGGAGUCNUCGUWCCUCGCGCGCGGACACGCUNCUGUGCGUCGAUGUCCNACGCUYGUCGUCGUGCACUUCUCCCCAAGUAGAAAGUCGCGMSCCGCUGAGUAUUUGUCUACGGCCUGGGUGCGCUGACUGUAAACGCCGGUAAAACGGGCACGCGACANNNNCMCSGUCGCCNGGCCGGCAGCUCGGCGGUACGCGCAANGNAUNAGGCUGCACUCACGUGUGCGUCGAGGCCCUCGCAAGCGCGCGCCACGGUAUUCGGAGUUACGGACUUUGNACCGUCCCCGGUCCAGGCCCGCUGUUGGUUAAAGUACGGCUUACCUUCGACAGGCCUGNGAACGUCUUUCUCUCUCUCUCGUGAGAGUGGGGGCUAAACGA
rnacentral:rRNA from 1 species